UUAUCAAAAACAUCGCCUCUUGCUAACAAAGGAAGUACUAGAGGUCCCGCCUGCCCUGUGACCACAAAGUUUAACGGCCUCGGUAUCCUGACCGUGCGAAGGUAGCGUAAUCAUUUGUCUUUUAAAUAGAGACCUGUAUGAAUGGCAUAACGAGGGUUUAACUGUCUCCUUCCCCUAGUCAAUGAAAUUGAUCUGCCCGUGCAGAAGCGGACAUAAACACAUCAAGACGAGAAGACCCUAUGGAGCUUUAGACAAAAGAUCAAACAUGUAAAGAAACCAAGUUAACCAAAAGGAACACAAAGGCCACGAAACCCGACGUAAACUGAUCCAAAUGUCUUCGGUUGGGGCGACCAUGGGGGAGAAAAAAGCCCCCACGAGGAACAGGGACUAAUCCCUAAGCCAAGAGAGACAUCUCUAAGCAACAGAAAAUCUGACCAAAAGUGACCCAGAAUACUAAUUCUGAUCAACGAACCAAGUUACCCUAGGGAUAACAGCGCAAUCCUUUCCCAGAGUCCAUAUCGACGAAAGGGUUUACGACCUCGAUGUUGGAUCAGGACAUCCUAAUGGUGCAGCCGCUAUUAAGGGUUCGUUUGUUCAACGAUUAAUAGUCCUACGUGAUCUGAGUUCA
rnacentral:rRNA from 1 species